rnacentral:rRNA from 1 species
UAUACAUGCAGUCGAGCGAACAGACGAAGGAAGCUUGCUCCUCUGACGUUAGCGGCGGACGGGUGAGUAACACGUGGAUAACCUACCUAUAAGAACUGGGAUAACUUCGGGAAACCGGAGCUAAUACCGGAUAAUAUAUUGAACCGCAUGGUUCAAUAGUGAAAGACGGUUUUGCUGUCACUUAUAGAUGGAUCCGCGCCGCAUUAGCUAGUUGGUAAGGUAACGGCUUACCAAGGCAACGAUGCGUAGCCGACCUGAGAGGGUGAUCGGCCACACUGGAACUGAGACACGGUCCAGACUCCUACGGGAGGCAGCAGUAGGGAAUCUUCCGCAAUGGGCGAAAGCCUGACGGAGCAACGCCGCGUGAGUGAUGAAGGUCUUCGGAUCGUAAAACUCUGUUAUUAGGGAAGAACAAAUGUGUAAGUAACUAUGCACGUCUUGACGGUACCUAAUCAGAAAGCCACGGCUAACUACGUGCCAGCAGCCGCGGUAAUACGUAGGUGGCAAGCGUUAUCCGGAAUUAUUGGGCGUAAAGCGCGCGUAGGCGGUUUUUUAAGUCUGAUGUGAAAGCCCACGGCUCAACCGUGGAGGGUCAUUGGAAACUGGAAAACUUGAGUGCAGAAGAGGAAAGUGGAAUUCCAUGUGAC